UGUUGAUGGUGUGGACAGUCCCUAAGAAAAGCCUUGAACCGCUCCCAAGCAUGAUAAAGAUUCUCUUCUGGCUUCUAUUUGAAGCACACUAUCUCACUGCUAAGUCA